rnacentral:misc_RNA from 1 species
CCUAGAGUUGCGGGCUUUGCCUGCCAUCUCUUACCCAUGUCUUUUGAGUACCUUCGUUUCCUCGGCGGGUUCGCCCGCCGAUUGGACAAAACUUAAACCCUUUGUAAUUGAAAUCAGCGUCUGAAAAAAACAUAAUAGUUA